rfam:Schizophyllum commune H4-8 unplaced genomic scaffold SCHCOscaffold_4, whole genome shotgun sequence.
UGCCCCCUGGCCCAGCUGGUUAAGGCGUGUGACUGUUAAUGCACAAUCACAAGAUCGUGAGUUCGAGCCUCACGGGGGCAG